AUUGAGCGCUGGCGGAAUGCUUUACACAUGCAAGUCGAACGGCAGCACGGACUUCGGUCUGGUGGCGAGUGGCGAACGGGUGAGUAAUGUAUCGGAACGUGCUCAGUCGUGGGGGAUAACGUAGUGAAAAUUACGCUAAUACCGCAUACGAUCUAUGGAUGAACGCGGGGGAUCGCAAGACCCCGCGCGACUGGAGCGGACGAUACUAGAUUAGUUAGUUGGUGGGGUAAAGGCCCACCAAGCCAACGAUCUGUAGCUGGUCUGAGAAGACGACCCGCCACACUGGAACUGAAACACGGUCCAGACUCCUACGGGGGGCAGCGGUGGGGAAUUUUUGACUAUGGGCGAAAGCCUGAUCCAGCCAUUCCGCGUGAAGGAUGAAGGCCCUCGGGUUGUAAACUUCUUUUGUACAGAACGGAAAGGUUUCUACUAAUACUAGGAGCUCAUGACGGUACUGUAGGAAUAAGCACCGGCUAACUACGUGCCAGCAGCCGCCGUAA
rnacentral:rRNA from 1 species